rnacentral:rRNA from 1 species
UACAGAGGUGGCAAGCGUUGUUCGGAUUUACUGGGCGUAAAGGGCGCGUAGGCGGUCGUGACAAGUCACUUGUGAAAUCUCCGGGCUUAACUCGGAACGGUCAAGUGAUACUGUCGGACUAGAGUACAGAAGGGGCAACUGGAAUUCUCGGUGUAGCGGUGAAAUGCGUAGAUAUCGAGAGGAACACCUGCGGCGAAGGCGGGUUGCUGGGCUGAUACUGACGCUGAUGCGCGAAAGCCAGGGGAGCGAACGGG